AUGAACGCUGGCGGCGUGCCUAAUACAUGCAAGUCGAGCGAACAGACGAGGAGCUUGCUCCUCUGACGUUAGCGGCGGACGGGUGAGUAACACGUGGAUAACCUACCUAUAAGACUGGGAUAACUUCGGGAAACCGGAGCUAAUACCGGAUGAUAUAUUGAACCGCAUGGUUCAAUAGUGAAAGACGGUUUUGCUGUCACUUAUAGAUGGAUCCGCGCCGCAUUAGCUAGUUGGUAAGGUAACGGCUUACCAAGGCAACGAUGCGUAGCCGACCUGAGAGGGUGAUCGGCCACACUGGAACUGAGACACGGUCCAGACUCCUACGGGAGGCAGCAGUAGGGAAUCUUCCGCAAUGGGCGAAAGCCCGACGGAGCAACGCCGCGUGAGUGAUGAAGGUCUUCGGAUCGUAAAACUCUGUUAUUAGGGAAGAACAAAUGUGUAAGUAACUAUGCACGUCUUGACGGUACCUAAUCAGAAAGCCACGGCUAACUACGUG
rnacentral:rRNA from 1 species